UAAUAUGAUUAGCUGCUCCUCUCCGGGGAGCGCUUCCGCGAACUGCUCCUUCUUUUUCCCUACUCAUUUUUCUUUUUUCCACGUCUAUUGUUUUUGUGUGAAAAGAGAUGGUGUCCGGUAAUUCUCGCGCCACCAAGUUU
ensembl:ncRNA C54D10.18 ncRNA